GCACGCACUUGACCAGUGGGACAAAGCGAAAGAUAAGUAUGAUCUCUCAUCUUUCCUUUCCCCGAUGACCCCGAUCUGGCGGAACAAACUGUUUCCCCCGGGCCUCACACCCAAACACUUCGCCAAGUUCGAACAAAGAGACAUUGCUAGAAUAGGACACCUCUAUCAGGACAACGACGUUAUCCAGUUCUCAGACAUCCCAGACUCCGCGUCCCUCACAACAUUUGACCACUUUCGGUAUAUACAACUACGUAGCUUUGCAGCGAUCCCAAGCAUUAAACAAGCGGGGACAGCACCACUCACCAAAUUUGAACGUGGAUGCGUGACCCACCCCAACAGAAAAGGUCAAAUCUCAGACCUGUACACAAUCAUAGCUAAUCACCCCACACAACGCUCCCUCCCAUAC